UUAAAGGAUUUCAUUGUUCAUUUGUCUUCCUGUUUAUCCAUUUUCUUUCAAAGCUUCUACUAAAAACAAAAACUCUUUGUAAUUAUCACUAAGAGGGAAAUAGCCAAACAUGAUAAUGGAUUGUGGUUUGCGUAGAUUUUUGAAUCCCCUUCUUCAUGAUAAAGUGAUUACUUUUAAUUAAGGGAACAAUUAAUUAUGAGUAAUCAAAUCAGAGGAAGAAGAUUCGUCGAUCUUAGUGCUGAUUUUCAGCUAGGGGGCUUCGAGUUGGGCGAGGUAGCUGAUCAUACGGAGAUCUUGCGAUUUCAAUUAUGGUUUGAGUAAGACGGGGGUAUCGGUCGAUCGUUGCGUAUCAUAUUAUCCUGCAAAAAAAAACUUCGGCAAGUUGCUCAGUUUAAAGUGUGUUUCAAAGGCCUCUAUCUAUUGUAUAAAGUAAUAUGAGAUUUUUGAGGAGAUGAAAUUGCUGGAAACAAUGUUGGAAUCUGAGGUUUAAUAGUCUGCAGUAGUAAAUAAUAUGCAUGUCCAUAUGAGUAUCCUCAUUUUUCUUCACAUCAUUUUGGUGUUAUAUUCGUAACGAGUGGCAUGUUUUUCUUUUUUGUA